ACAUGCAAGUCGAACGGUAACAGGAAGCAGCUUGGCUCUUCGCUGACGAGUGGCGGACGGGUGAGUAAUGUCUGGGAAGCUGCCUGAUGGAGGGGGAUAACUACUGGAAACGGUAGCUAAUACCGCAUAAUGUCGCAAGACCAAAGAGGGGGACCUUCGGGCCUCUUGCCAUCGGAUGUGCCCAGAUGGGAUUAGCUUGUUGGUGGGGUAACGGCUCACCAAGGCGACGAUCCCUAGCUGGUCUGAGAGGAUGACCAGCCACACUGGAACUGAGACACGGUCCAGACUCCUACGGGAGGCAGCAGUGGGGAAUAUUGCACAAUGGGCGCAAGCCUGAUGCAGCCAUGCCGCGUGUAUGAAGAAGSCUUCGGGUUGUAAAGUACUUUCAGCGGGGAGGAAGGGAGUAAAGUUAAUACCUUUGCUCAUUGACGUUACCCGCAGAAGAAGCACCGGCUAACUCCGUGCCAGCAGCCGCGGUAAUACGGAGGGUGCAAGCGUUAAUCGGAAUUACUGGGCGUAAAGCGCACGCAGGCGGUUUGUUAAGUCAGAUGUGAAAUCCCCGGGCUCAACCUGGGAACUGCAUCUGAUACUGGCAAGCUUGAGUUUCGUAGAGGGGGGUAGAAUUCCAGGUGUAGCGGUGAAAUGCGUAGAGAUCUGGAGGAAUACCGGUGGCGAAGGCGGCCCCCUGGACGA
rnacentral:rRNA from 1 species